rnacentral:rRNA from 1 species
UACGUAGGGGGCAAGCGUUGUCCGGAUUUAUUGGGCGUAAAGAGCGUGUAGGCGGUUCGGUAGGUCCGUUGUGAAACUCGAGCUCAACCUCGAGACGCCGAUGGAAACCCCCGAACUAGAGUCCGGAAGAGGAGAGUGGAAUUCCUGGUGUAGCGGUGAAAUGCGCAGAUAUCAGGAAGAACACCCGUGGCUAAGGCGGCUCUCUAGUACGGUACUGACGCUGAGACGCGAAAGCGUGGGGAGCGAACAGG